CGUAGGUGGCAAGCGUUACUCGGAAUCACUAGGCGUAAAGCGCAGGUAGGAGGUUUGGUAAGUCUGUUGUGAAAGCUCCCGGCUCAACUGGGAGAGGUCAACGGAAACUACCAGGCUAGAGUGUGGUAGAGGUAGCUGGAAUUCCCGGUGUAGCGGUGAAAUGCGUAGAUAUCGGGAGGAAUACCUAUGGCGAAAGCAGGCUACUGGACCAUCACUGACUCUGAUCUGCGAAAGCUAGGGGAGCAAACAGGAUUAGAUACCCUGGUAGUCCUAGCCCUAAACGAUGCUCAUUAGGUGUGGGAGGUAUCGACCCCUUCCGCGCCGUAGCUAACGCAUUAAAUGAGCCGCCUGGGGAGUACGGCCGCAAGGUUG
rnacentral:rRNA from 1 species